ensembl:lncRNA
CUGCUAGAAUGUUUAAUCUGGGCAUACUCUCCCCGAUAGAUUCACAUUCCUACUGUCCCAGCUUGUUUGGAGUGUGGAGUAAGAGGUGGUUUUCCUUACUUUAAAAGCUUUGUAAUUCAGACUCAGAGAGCCAGGACUUUUUCUAUCCAUCUGGACAAACUCAAAGGCCACACCCAAUAUCAUCAGCCAUGUAUGUAGCCUUCUGAUGGGAAAACGACAGAAUAACAUCCACGGGCAUCUGACAGGAGAGGUAUGGCCUGGACAUGCGCCUCGUUCUCCUCUUGGCCUGGUGUGCCCUGGAGAAUGAAAAUGCGCACACCCAAGUUGAUGCUUCGAAGUGACCAGUCAGAUGCUAGCAGUGUAUGGAGCCCAGUGUUUGGCUGAAAGGAGAAGGCAGCAGCCAGAAGCAACCGAAAGGACCAGGAAGGAAACCUGCCCCAGUCUCACGGGCUUCUUUGCUGGCCACACCUGCCAUUCGUUAUAUGGAUACGAUGUGUUUAACACUGACUUAAAAAAGAGCUGUCACACUUCUGAAAACUCUAAGAUAAGCCAAACUCUUUCCUUUAGACCAUAUCCUCCGCCGUGCUGGCCCGGCAAAACAACAUGGCAAAUGGAGCCCGAUGGUGCAGCCAGAGGAACCCUGAGGCUGGAGUUCUGGGGCUCAGGGUGUGAUACUCAGAAAAAUAAUUUGCCUCUCUGCAUUUCAACAUGUGUUCCUAAGUGGAGAGCUAAGCUUUCUGAGACUACACAUAUGCAUGCAAGAGCACUGCAUCUAUCCUCUAGACAGAAGUCUUUAACAUCACUCUGUCAAAGGGUGUUUUAUCUCAGCAAUGAGAGAAAAGUACCCAAGACACAUGGCCUAGAAGAAAAAAUUUUUUCAAGACUCAAGAAGUCUGAGGAUGGAUAAUCCAGAAUGGAUUUUUACUGAAUGAGAAAGCAAUAUUGCAAAUAUUGCUAUUAAUUCAAACACAUGGCACAGGAGUCAUGAAUACCACAUGUUUGUCCAAGGAAUUCCCACCUCGAGCUCUGGCGAUGUCCUCCAAAAAAGUGUGGGUGGAACCGACCCCACAUCGCAGGCCUGGGGGGGACCCCUGCAGCUGACCCGGGGCAGAGCUGCUCAGGCCGGAAGUGGAUAGACACCCAGCUGUGCCCUGAGAGGGGCCGCCAGGAUUCCAGGCAAGGUCUUUAUUGCUGAAACUCUUGCAUAAUGACAUCUUUAUUCAUGUGAAAGCGCAGUGUGGAAUUCCACUGUAUGAAAUUGUUUA